UGCCCCCUUUGCACUUUGCCAAUUGGACUUAUGCCUUAAUUGGUGGGGGCAAAGGAAAUAUCCUUUUAAAACUCAGGCAAACUGGUGUUUGUCUUGUAUCCUGUCAAAGGAAACAAAU
ensembl:snoRNA